UAAUACGUAGGAGGCGAGCGUUAUCCGGAUUUACUGGGCGUAAAGCGGACGCAGGCGGCCUUUCAAGUCGGAUGUAAAAUCUCCUGGCUCAACCAGGAGGGACCAUUCGAUACUGUUGGGCUAGAGGGCAGCAGGGGGAGGUGGAAUUCCCGGUGUAGUGGUGAAAUACGUAGAUAUCGGGAGGAACACCAGUGGCGAAGGCGGCCUCCUGGGCUGUUUCUGACGCUGAGGUCCGAAAGCGUGGGUAGCGAACAGGAUUAGAUACCCUGGUAGUCAACGCCCUAAACGAUGGACACUAGGUAUGGGGAGUAUCGACCCUCUCCGUGCCGAAGCUAACGCGUUAAGUGUCCCGCCUGGGGACUACGGCCGCAAGGCUA
rnacentral:rRNA from 1 species